rnacentral:rRNA from 1 species
UAGGGAAUCUUCCGCAAUGGACGAAAGUCUGAUCGGAGCAACGCCGCGUGAGUGAAGAAGGCCUUCGGGUCGUAAAGCUCUGUUGUUAGGGAAGAACAAGUACCGGAGUAACUGCCGGUACCUUGACGGUACCUAACCAGAAAGCCACGGCUAACUACGUGACUUG